UGAGAAAAUGCCUCUAUAAGAGCAGGCUGUAGGAGAUUUGAAGUGCCAGGGUAGGGGGAUACCAGAGAGGCCCCACCUGCUCAGGAUCAGGAAUUGAUGUGGGAGGGCACAGUCCAUUGAGGGUGGUACCAUGCUGGGCUGGUGGAUUUGAGUUGUAUACAGAAGGAGGCUGAGCAAGGCAGUAAGCAGCAACCCCCAGGCCCCAUCAUCAGUUCCUGCCUCCAGGUUUCUGCCCUGUUGGAGUUGCUGUCCUGACUUCCCUCAGUGAUGGACUACAGUGUGGAAGUGUAAGCUGUUGUGUCCGUCCAGCGACUCACAUGUCUGGGUUCUGUUUUGGAAAGGCAUCUUGGAAUCUGGAAGAGAAGAGGGAGCUAGGCGGACGAGAGAAAGAUGAAGCUAAGACAAAAUUCUGAUCAAAGCUCCAUUUUACUAAUUCGUGCACCGAGUUAUGAAGGAGGGGAAGGGGCCUGAUUUCCGCCAAGUCAUCUUGGAGUAAGGUUGCAGGUGAACACGUGAUAGCUCCAGAACAGCUAGGUGGCAGGCAGUGGCAGUGGGAGUGGCAGGACAAUAGGGCAGCGAGCUCCACCCUGAUGCUCUCUAACACUGAAACUUGAGCAAACAGGUUUCAGGCUGGGGAGGGGAGGUUACAUCUCCUCCCUGUUGUUAAUAUAAAAAAGAAAAGGCUGGGCUGAGGCAUAAAAUUUAUUUAUGCCCUUUAGUUCUGCCUGAAUUCUUAGGGCUUAAUGAAGAAACCCGUCUCUGUGGGAUUUCUUAACUUUUCUUAUAGUAAACCAUAUCUGGAUAAGACUGUCCUUUCUGUCCUAGUAAACAACUAGCAGACUAGCCCUGAGCUGUUGGCUCUGACUUUUAUAAUGCUAAUUAGUACUGAGUAGGUAACUUCCUUGUACA
rnacentral:lncRNA from 1 species